GGAGAAACACAAUUCAGGGGUACAGCAUCUGCCUUGUAUGCAGAAACUCCCAGGUUCAAUACCUGAUGUCUCCA